rnacentral:rRNA from 1 species
GACGAACGCUGGCGGCGUGCUUAACACAUGCAAGUCGAACGGAAAGGCCCUGCUUUUGUGGGGUGCUCGAGUGGCGAACGGGUGAGUAACACGUGAGUAACCUGCCCUUGACUUUGGGAUAACUUCAGGAAACUGGGGCUAAUACCGGAUAGGAGCUCCUGCUGCAUGGUGGGGGUUGGAAAGUUUCGGCGGUUGGGGAUGGACUCGCGGCUUAUCAGCUUGUUGGUGGGGUAGUGGCUUACCAAGGCUUUGACGGGUAGCCGGCCUGAGAGGGUGACCGGCCACAUUGGGACUGAGAUACGGCCCAGACUCCUACGGGAGGCAGCAGUGGGGAAUAUUGCACAAUGGGCGGAAGCCGGAUGCAGCAACGCCGCGUGCGGGAUGACGGCCUUCGGGUUGUAAACCGCUUUCGCCUGUGACGAAGCGGGAGUGACGGUAAUGGGUAAAGAAGCACCGGCUAACUACGUG